rnacentral:lncRNA from 10 species
CCAGGAGAUCCAAACUUUGUUCCUGGUCUCUCUCCACAGUUGGAAUUGGGAACUACACAUGGGCACAGCUUACAGGUGGAAUGAUGACUCACACCUGAAGAUAUUUUGACCUUUGUAGUCUUAGGGCAAAAACUAAGGUCCUGUGUCUUCAACUUGUAGGAUGGUCACGGAAUAUUACAACUUGCAUGCACGUUGAAUGAAGCCCUCAAAUGCUACAAAGAGUGCCAAAAUAGAGCCCAGCUAAAACUGUGGUAAAACUGUGGCUGUUGUAUGCAAACUCAAAUAAAAGUAAGGAUUAUCAGCCUUCCACAUUAACAGAACCCACUGUUGAGGUUCUGAAUCGCUCACCAAGAGGCAAUCAAGUUGGAAUUGUGACUCUCAUGCAUCAAUCCAAUCGACAGAUGAGAUGAUAACACCAAGUCCAGGAUUUAGAACACCUGGGGGCUGUGCUUCCCCUAUCAAAACACAGUCUGUUGGUGAGAUUUGGGCUCUCGUGCAUUGAUUUAGUCCACUGUUGUGACUGACUUGCAUAGUUGAACUCAAACCCACAAGAGGUGUUGACUCUUAUACCUUUAGCAGGAAAAUGUCCCGGAUUGUGAAUUUCUGCUAUUGACCGGGUCCAGCUGGAUCCAGGUAUGAGAGUCAUCAUCUCACCUGUGAGCUGUGACCAUGUAUAUGUCGCAAUUUCACCUGUCAUCAGGAAGCAGACAUGAGAGUCCUAUCACCUGGGUGCUGGGCCGGAGCACAAUGGUGUGAUCUCGACUCACUGCAACCUCCGCCUCCCGGAUUCAAGCGAUUCUCCUGCCUCAGCCUGCCGAGUAGCUGGGAUUACAGGUGCCCACCACGGUG